GAGCUGUUAUCACUGCAGAACCAAGGUCACCUGUGGAAGCUCCUUGCUGAAGCCAGUUUUCUAUCAGAUCAUCCAUCAGGCCUAGCAGGGGGCAGGCAUUGUGCUGACUGUGGAAGAUCACAGAGAGUGUGUCAGAGUGAAAUUGACUUUGGAACUGUCUUUGUCCCUUUUGUACAGACCACACAACUGGUGCCAAUGGCGUCGCUGCCUGACUUUAAACUGUCCUGCCACUAGGAACCCUCACUGUCCAGCUCCAUAGUGCAACCAGAAGGAGAUUAACAAUGGUACCAGCACGUGCAGAAAAGAAAGAGUCUCCGCUUGUCUUUGUCUGAUUCUCCUGUCCUCUCCAUGGAAGUUACAUUUUCUGUAAAGGAUGAGCUGAAAAUUCUCCUGGUCGUUGCCAGUUGAACUUCUGCUGUGCUCUGGGAAGGCAUUCUCACUCUGUUUAUGUUGUCUAAGUGCAGACAUGGAUGUGCAGGUUUGCUAGAACCUCCUGAGGAUGUGCAAUGGUUCUGUUCAUGCCUGAAUCAGUUCUUUUGGGAGUGGACAUUCUUUCUCUCCCUCAUGCACAGCCUCAGGCACAUGGCUUGAGCUAUGGCGGCACGCAGUAUGGCCAUCACCCAGGUACACCCCUUCCCUAAGAAGAGGCUCUUCAGGUUACACUCGGGUACUGUUGUUAUCUGGCUUAUUGUCCAUAGGAUCAACAUAGAGUCCUGAGGUCAGUUCAAACCAUCAAACCAGGGAUGUUACUUAUUAUUUGAAAACUUCUUUGGAAAGAUAAUCUUGGGUUGUUCAGUGGGACCAGUCUUUGACGGGCAAAUCUCCAGAAUACAUGGGGUCAGUUCUCUCAGGUUCAGGAAGCAUGUAAUCUCUCUAAGAUUCAUUAAUUAAAAAAAAAAGACACAUGCAUAGAAAAAUAGAACAAAAUGGAAACUCUUUAUUGGAUACCUACUAUGGGUUAUGUGCCAGGGUUUCCUAAUCAUUUGGGGACAUGUGUGUAUAAACAAAACCAGGCUAUGUGGCCAGGCAGUGUGUGGCUCACACCUGUAAUCCCAGUGCUUAGGGAAGCCAAGUUGCAAGGAUCGCUUGAAACCAGGAGUUCGAGACUAGCCUGGGCAACAUAGUGAGACCCGGUCUCUGCAAAAAAAAAAAAAAAAGAAAAAGAAGAAGAAGAAAGAGAAAGGAAGGAAGGAAGGAAGGAAAGAAAGAAAGAAAGAGAAAGAAAGAAAGAAAGAAAAGAAAGAGAGAGAAAGAAAAAGAAAGGAAAGAAAGAAAAGAAAGAAAGAAAGAAAGAAAGGAAGAAACAAAGAAAAGAAAGAAAGAAAGAAAGAAAAGCUAGGAAGCUAGGGUGUGGGGGCGCAUGCCUGUAGUCCACACUACUUGGGAAGCUGAGGCAGGAGGAUUGCUUGAGCCCAGGAGAUCCAGGCUGCAGUGAACUGUGAUUGUGCUAUUACAUUCCAGCCUGGGCAACAGAGCAAGACCCUGUCUCUACAAAAACAAAACAAAACAAGACAACAGCAACAAAAAAGACCUGCCUAUGUCUUCAUGAACUUUGCAGUAUAGUGGUAGAAUAUGUGAGGGCCUGUUCUGUUGUGCUUCUUGGACACUCGGUGGGUUUACGCAACCUCAAUCAGGAGCUCUGAACACCGUCAGGCCUUAGCCAAAAUCUCUAUAAAGUAAUUUCUAUGUAUGAGUGCCAACUGCUAGGGGCAGUUCUGCUGAGCAAACUCUAAAGUUGUAUGCACGGGCUUACAGUUAUAACUCAUUUGGGGCUGAGAGGAGAACCUGUUAUUUGGUUUCCUGUCUCCUGAUCCAGAUGUUACAUUUUGUCGUGGGCAUGGAAAGCCCCCAAACUCCCCCAAGACAGUACCUAGUUCAUUCUGGGAGGUUCCAGGUGUCCUGUCUUUUGUAUUUCCAGAGGAGUUAAUGGAAGAGUAUAGAAACUCUGCUCUCUAUCCUGUAGCUUCCUUGCUACACAAGUUAAUUUGGGAUUAGAUAUUUUACCUCUUGAUAAAGUUUUAGUAUUUUGUGAGACAAAAACUGAGUUGAGGUAGAAAUAUUUUUCUGUCAUGGGACAUUACUCAGGAUGCAAUAAACUGUGUUUUGCUUGUGGCAAAAUUUGCAAACCUUCACUCAGUGAAAAGGACAUGAUUUUGUUAGCGAUGAAGCCAGUGAAAAGUCAAAUUUACCCAUUUCUUUCCACAUGGGUAAUUUUUUGAGCAUUGCACUCCCAUUUAUGGCAUGUGCUCUGUUUUCAUCGAGGACUAUAAUUAGACCAACAGGGGUGACUGUUUUAGCAAAAAUGUAAAGACUCAGGAAGAUACGUACCCCAGGAUUGCAUGAACCUAAAUCUGGAGUCAGUUCUUAGUGGACUCUUUCCUUUCCCCAUCAUCAUUACAUUUAAAAAGUAUGAACUUACUGGAAGCUUUAUAUAAACUAACACCUAAAGUUCUCUCAACCCAAGGUUGAUUUGAGCAUGUGUGUGUAAGUGCGUGGUGAUGUCUAGUGCCAACUGAUCCUGUCUAAAAGCCAUUUCCUAUUCUAAUUAGUAGGUCAGCAGGCAGGUUAAAAUAUUAAUUAUAAAGCUGCCAUCACUUAUUAGGAGAAAUCAGAAUUCUUCUUAAUUAAAACAGCUGCUAAUUAAUUUGCCCUUGACAACUCUAAGAAAUAAUAGAGCAAAAGAAAGAAUAAUUGGAAGUAAAACUGAUGAAAAUAGUUUAGAUUUCAUUUUAAUCAUUUGAGGAAAUGUUACACUAAAAAUAAGUAGCAUAAAUUAUCAAUUUGUCUAGAAAAAAUUAGGACUUUUAGAAAGUUGCCAAUGUGGCUAUACCAUUUUAAAAAAUGUUUGUUUUUUUUCAGGCCCAUCAAUGAGAGAGACAACAUUUAGAUAGGAGUACUGGACAUUUGAAAAUUCUUACACCCUGUGAUGUGACAUGGAGAAGUGACCAACACAACUUUGCCAACUAUACUCCAUUCUUAGUAACUGCCGAUUAGGAAGGAUUUCUUUCUAAGUCUGUCACUAAUUCAACUGUUAUUCACAAGAGAAGUAGAGGCAAAUGAUAGCAGCUUGAUCGUUGAUUUUUGAUUUAGAUGAUCAAUGAUGUUCAGAAUAGUGUUUGUAUGUGUGAGCAUGGAUGUGUAUGUCGUGUGUGUGUCUGUGUAUGUGGUGUGUGUGUCUGUGUAUAUUGUGUGUGUGUGUGUGCAUGCGUGUGUGCAGGGUAGGUAUCACCACAUUCCCUGUGGUGGUGUGUCUCUUCUCUGGGAUUGGUUCUUCUAGAAUCUCCCACCUUUUAGAACCACUUUAAGAUAUUUAUUUAUUCUCUCCAACCAUCCUGGCAAUCUUUUUAUCCUUAAACAGGAAUAAAUUCCUACAGCUGAAUCUAUUCAGGAUUUCUGUGUGUAUGUGUGAAAAUUUAUAUGAUGCUCAAUCCUUUAAAAAUCUUUUAUUCAAG
rnacentral:lncRNA from 1 species